CAGAAUGUAGUUUAUUUAGAAUUGUAGUUUUGGGGAUUACGGGUAAGGUUUCUUUGUUCUGA
rnacentral:tRNA from 1 species